GCAGUGUGGGCAGCUGGGGUGAUUCCAAGUGUAACGGGUUCAGGCCCAGGAGGGGCCGGUUGGAGGCUUUUUUUCUGCCUACCUUCCGGAGGGCGACAGUGGGCUGGAGCCUGAAUUCGGCUACCUGAACCCCCAGAGUCUCGGCAGGUUGCUAGGCAACCCCAGAAGCCCCCAGGAAGGGCGAGGAGAAAAUGAACCUGUCCUGUAGUUUAAAUCACCAGACCAUGAGAAGCUACAUCUGGACCAGAAAGAGGGGCCUGCCCAGUACACAGAGUUCCUGGACUCCAAGUUGUAUGUAGGAGCUGGUUGAGGAAAACCAGUGACAAACCUGGACCACUAUGCCUCAGUUUCUUUGGUGCCUUCCUACUUUUCACAAGUCCCCACCCAGGACCUCCAGAGCUUGAAACUGUCUUGUGAUCCUAUUCUAAUCCAACACGUGAACAAUCUUCUGUGUUCCAAAGAAGAGGUGAGCUCUAAAGUGGAUU